CCGCGGUAUUUUGACCGUGCAAAGGUAGCAUAAUCAUUAGUUCAUUAAUUGUGGACUAGUAUGAAUGGUUGGACGAAAUAUUGACUGUCUCAUAUUUAAUAUUAUAAUUUAAAUUUUUAGUUAAAAUGCUUAAAUUUUUGUAUAGGACGAUAAGACCCUAUAGAUCUUAAUUAUAUUUUUUUUUAUUUGGUUUAGUUUAAUUUAUUAAUAAUUUUAUUUAUUUUUUGGUUGGGGUGACUUUAAGAUUUAAUUAACUCUUAUUAUUUUUUUUUCAAUAAUUUUUGUUUUUACGACCUUUUAUUAAUGUUUGAAAGAUUUAGAUACCUUAGGGAUAACAGCGUAAUUUUUUUUGAGAGUUCUUAUCGACAGAAAAGAUUGCGACCUCGAUGUUGGAUUAAGAAAAUGAUUUGGUGUAGGUGCUAAUAUUGUUAAGUCUGUUCGACUUUUAAAUUCUUACAUGAUCUGAGU
rnacentral:rRNA from 1 species